rnacentral:rRNA from 1 species
UACGGGAGGCAGCAGUGGGGAAUAUUGCACAAUGGGCGCAAGCCUGAUGCAGCCAUGCCGCGUGUGUGAAGAAGGCCUUCGGGUUGUAAAGCACUUUCAGUCAGGAGGAAAGGUUGGUAGUUAAUACCUGCUAGCUGUGGCGUUACUGACAGAAGAAGCACCGGCUAACUCCGUGCCAGCAGCCGCGGUAAUAC